GCCGUAAAACCCUCCAACAGAUAGAGAGAUUACUUUUAGGGGAAAUGUUCGAUGUGAAAACAAAAAAAGGAAAGUUGAAUAUUAAGGCACCGACACAAGAACACCAACAAAAGAAGCUGUAAGAAUAAGAAGUAGGACCAGAAAGAGACUAUGUGUUGAGAGAAAAAGAACAAAAGAAAGAAAAAUGUUAGAAAGAGAUGCUAAAAAAGGUUUCUAGUGCAAUGGUGUGUGUGU